rnacentral:lncRNA from 1 species
AGGAUUAAAAACAUUCCUUUUAGAAUUUUAUAACUUAAUAAGUAGGUCUAUCUUAUUUUUUACAUCCAUGUUAUUGAGUAAAAUCUCACAGCUGAAGGCGUGAGAUCCUGGCUUUGCCAGGGAGAGUUGGACCUGGAAGUGAGCCAAGUGAGGCUGCAGCUGGUGCGGGUCCACCUUCUGCACAGAGCAGCGGUGGGAAUGGUCAUCUUUGAAGGAAAACAUGAUGGAGCCUGUUGUGUCCAGUUCUGGUUCUUUGAGAGACAAGUGGUUCAGAGGAGUCUAAUGCUCCUGCUCCUUCCUUCAACUUGGAGACAUUGGCAGGCAGAACUAAAGUGCAGUUUGCUAGAAACACAACACUCUUCUGGAUGAAUGAUGGUUCUAUACAGGAUAAUGCCUUUCUGAGGCUGGAGCACUGGCUUUGAGGCUUCCCCAUUCAGUUCAAGUUGGACCAAGCAGGCCUAUGUCAGACAAGGACAAUGAAUCUAAGGGCUGUCCAUCCCCUGCUGUCUUGCACAUCUGUGCAGUUCAGUUGCUGCCUCAGAGAGAAAGGGCAACAAGGAAGUUUGGCGAAGUGACCCCACCAAUGGAAGACAGCAGAGGAGGCUUUGUGCUCAGCUGUGCUGAAGUCCUCAAACAUACUUGGGAAACAACUCUUUUCUAUACCUUCAAGGUUUGCCAUGAAUGUUCCAAAUUUAUGGGACUCAUGCUCAUCCUAAACACGUUCCUCUGUCUGUUGUUUCCCCUUAAUAAGCCCGAAGCAUUUAAGUGGAUUGGAAAUCUCCUUGCAGUGAUUCUCCCACUUUGA